rnacentral:rRNA from 1 species
AGUGAACGCUGGCGGUAUGCCUAACACAUGCAAGUCGAACGACAGCACAGUAAGAGCUCGCUCUUACGGGUGGCGAGUGGCGGAUGGGUGAGGAAUACAGCGGAAACAUCUUAUUCGGGGGGGAUAACGCAGGGCAACCUACGAUACUACCGCAUACGACCUACGGCUGAAAGCACACGUUCUUUGGACUUUGCGUGACCGUAUGAGCCGAUGUCGCAUUAGCGAGUGGGCGGGGUAAAGGCGCACCAAGGCGACGCUCUGUAGCUGGUCUGAGAGGAUGAUCAGCCCAACUGGAACUGGGACACGGUCCAGACUCCUACGGGAGGCAGCAGUGGGGAAUAUUGGGCAAUGGGCGCAAGCCUGAUCCAGCCAUACCGCGUGGGUGAAGAAGGCCUUCGGGUUGUAAAGCCCUUUUCUUGGGAAAGAAGAGCAGCAGGCUAAUACCCCGCUGUCCUGACGGUACCCAAAGAAUAAGCACCGGCUAACUUCGUG